CGUAAAAAUUACCAAUCUGCUUUCAAUGCCCCAAUUAUGAUACUUUUGUGCAAUUUACUCAAGUCUUUGUCUGCCACAUCCCACGCACGACGCAGCCCACGCUGCCUAAAAAACUCUCGAUCCCCUCCUCUCCCUCUCCCUACCAUCACCGCCACUGUUGACUAGAUCGAGGUGCUAGCGGCCCGAUGCACCUGGCGGCUACCGGAUCCGUCCCCCCUACGGAUCCACUAGCUCAACACUCUCCGCCACCGCCAUGUCCACCAUGGUGGCCAGCAAUGCAAGGUGUCUCUUGGCGUUCGGCCGUCCCCAUACGGCGGCAUCAUGUCGGCGCCCCACGUCCAGGUCUACGCUCUUCGCCGUCGGCAGCCUCCACCAUGUCGCCACCUCCUUGCUGCCGGAUGAGACAUCCUAUGCAUCAUUGUCAUCUUGGUUGCCGGUGAAAGCCUGCUCUUUCUCCUCUGGGAUCGAUUUCACCUUCAUCUUGCUCUGCCACGGGUGGAUCUUCAGUCCCCUGGCAUAUGUGUUGUCCAUUCUAUACUCCCGCCGGCUGGCCAGCUGUGUGUGUGUCGUGGGUGGCUUGACGUGCGCGCUCUAUUGGCAUUGUAAGCGGGCAGUUGCAGGCAGGGGACGAGCUGUUGGCUACUUGCAGAGGAGGAUUAGGAUUGUAUAGCACAACCAGGAGAGCUCGUUUGAUUUGUUUUGGUCUAGAUUAGUCAAACUGUGAAUUGAUAUUUGUUUCGUGGUACAGGAGCUUCAAGGCAACAGGGGCAAUAGGCUUUGACAACAACACAUUCAAUGAGUUUCUUCCCAAAUCUGAAACUAUUUGGCUCUAAAUUGUAAUCCCCUUGAGAAAGUUAGAGUAUUUAUGGACUGGUUUAUGGAUGUUGCAAAUUUGAUUGCAGCAGGGACGAGCAAAGAAAGUGCAGUGCUCACCGUUGAUAGAUAUAUUCAGGGAAACAUCAAACUUCAGUGAGAAUGAACAUGACCAGGCAGGGAGCUUCAUGCAUCAUUGGAUCUGAGAAUUGUUUACUACUGUGAAUUGUUUAUGUUUCUUGGAGACACUAACCGUAGCUUCUUAUUAGUGCCCAUGGUGAAAGAGCUAUAUUGUUGUGCCUUUCUUGGAUUCAGGUUCUUCUAUUCCAAAUGGCCGCUUGUCAUCCGCGAGCGCAGUGAGCAGUGCCUGCUGGAGUCGUAGCGCAGGACUCCUGCUACCGGCGGGAGUAAUAUUUACCGAGGACGCCCAACUUGGCCGACCCUGAUGGCUGCGCCCGGUACACACUCACACGCAUCAACGGCGAUCCGCACACAUAUGCCGCGUUAGAGGCGUCGCUGCGUCUCAUCGCCGAGCUGCGCCAGUCCAACAACUCAGACCUAUGAGCACAUGUUCACACGCAAGUUCGCACCUGACUGCCUUGGCCCGCUCAUGGCCAUCGCAGACACUGUCAUCUUCCAAGACUGAUUGAUGUGGCGCUCUGGAUCAUAGCUACACGUAGGAGGUAUUUCUAGCGCCUGAUUUCUCAAAAGUUUCAGAGGUUCUAGACAUUACUUCUUCUUGUUUUAUACUUUAUCUGAAUUGAGUUUUCAUUCCCGUUUUUUAAAAGUUAGUUGUAUCCAACAACAACAUAAUACAUGCUCACUAGGAUGUUUUCUUUUGAAUUUCUAGACAUUACUUGUGAAAGCAGUAGCAACUGAGUGCUCAUUACAUGUUCUUAGCGUAAAAGGUUCCGAACUUGCUCAUUAAACUUUCUUAGUGUAAAAAGUCUAGAACUGAUAAACAUGGAGUAUGUUGGAGAAUCAGAGAAGAAUAUCAGGGACAUCUUUGAGAAGGUAUAUCCAUCUGCACGAGCCAUAUAAUUGCCAUGAAAUAUCCACAUAUACUCAGAUAAUCAGUAUUCACCGUCAAUUUUAGGCUAGAUCAGCACGCCCAUGAGUAAUUUUCUUCGAUGAGCUUGAUUCCCUUGCUCCUGCACGAGUGUCCUCUGCAGAUUCUGGAGGUGGUUUCUCAGCACAAAUGCUGACGGAGAUGCAUAUGUUUGGCAUUCUAUCAGUAACAUAAACUUGUGCUAGCUUGCAGCACUACAUUUUGUGAUUGUGUAGUAUCCACACCACUACUGAUUGUCUAUGCUCUUGCCUGAGAGCACGUGUUGUGCUUUGUAGCAUAUCGUCUAACAAAGAUGUAAACUCUGCAAGUAGAAAUAGACUUUAGCACUGUGAUCCAGUAUGUAUUGAGUAUGGAUUAGUAUUUGGUAUGCUUGCAAAUGCUUAUUUAUUGCUUGCACCAGA